GAUGAACGCUGGCGGCGUGCCUAAUACAUGCAAGUCGAGCGAAUGGAUUAAGAGCUUGCUCUUAUGAAGUUAGCGGCGGACGGGUGAGUAACACGUGGGUAACCUGCCCAUAAGACUGGGAUAACUCCGGGAAACCGGGGCUAAUACCGGAUAACAUUUUGAACCGCAUGGUUCGAAAUUGAAAGGCGGCUUCGGCUGUCACUUAUGGAUGGACCCGCGUCGCAUUAGCUAGUUGGUGAGGUAACGGCUCACCAAGGCAACGAUGCGUAGCCGACCUGAGAGGGGGAUCGGCCACACUGGGACUGAGACACGGCCCAGACUCCUACGUGAUGCAGCAGUAGGGAAUCUGCCGCAAUGGACGAAAGUCUGACGGAGCAACGCCGCGUGAGUGAUGAAGUCUUUCGGGUCGUAAAACUCUGUUGUUAGGGAAGAACAAGUGCUAGUUGAAUAAGCUGGCACCUUGACGGUACCUAACCAGAAAGCCACGGCUAACUACGUGCCAGCCGCCGCGGUAA
rnacentral:rRNA from 1 species